ACCACGGGAAGUUUUGGUUGACUUGGUCAAAUAGUUGGGUUUUGCUUAAAACCCAUGAGGUACAAAGCAAAGGAGGUUGGCAUGGAGUGCUUAUUGUGCAUGGUUGAUCAUAUUUUUCAAAGGUAUAUAAGAGGAAGCGUAUUUCAUUUGAUUCGAAAGGAGUAUUUUUGGAAAAAUGUUUAUUGUAAAUUGUAAUGUUAUUUCCAUCGGAUAUUGGUGUUUUGAUAACUUGGGGCCGUCGAGCCAAAAUGUAGUAUUUGAGUUUUAUUUGAG